rnacentral:rRNA from 1 species
GACGAACGCUGGCGGCGUGCUUAACACAUGCAAGUCGAACGGAAAGGCCCUGCUUUUGUGGGGUGCUCGAGUGGCGAACGGGUGAGUAACACGUGAGUAACCUGCCCUUGACUUUGGGAUAACUUCAGGAAACUGGGGCUAAUACCGGAUAGGAGCUCCUGCUGCAUGGUGGGGAUUGGAAAGUUUCGGCGGUUGGGGAUGGACUCGCGGCUUAUCAGCUUGUUGGUGGGGUAGUGGCUUACCAAGGCUUUGACGGGUAGCCGGCCUGAGAGGGUGACCGGCCACAUUGGGACUGAGAUAGGGCCCAGACGCCUACGGGAGGCAGCAGUGGGGAAUAUUGCACAAUGGGCGGAAGCCUGAUGCAGCAACGCCGCGUGCGGGAUGACGGCCUUCGGGUUGUAAACCGCUUUCGCCUGUGACGAAGCGUGAGUGACGGUAAUGGGUAAAGAAGCACCGGCUAACUACGUG